AUUCACACUUUCUCUGCCUUGUCUUCUCAGGAUCACGCUGUGACUGCAUCUGUCCUGUUGGAUCCCAAGGCCUAGCCUGUGAGGUCUCCUAUCGGAAGAAUAUCCCCACUGAUGGGAAGUGGAAUUGCUGGUCAAGUUGGUCUUCAUGCUCUGGAGGACGUAAGACAAGACAAAGGCAGUGUAACAAUCCACCUCCUCAAAAUGGGGGCAGCCCCUGCUCAGGCCCUGCUUCAGAAACACUUGACUGCUCCUAGCAGAUAAUACAGCAGUGGGCUACAUACAGUGAGAGCUCUGAGCCCUCAAGUACUCAGGCCAGCUCACCCCUACACCAGUUUCCACCUGGGGUUCAUGUGAGGGCAAAAGGCAGUGCCAUGCAGGCUGUUUAAAAUAAAGAUAUUAGCUUGUAAAAUGCCAGUUGAUUUAAAUAAAUACUGAGUUAAAGGCUUAA